rnacentral:tRNA from 2 species
GCGCCUGUAGCUCAGCUGGAUAGAGUACCUGGCUACGAACCAGGCGGUCGCACGUUCGAAUCGUGCCAGGCGCA